GUAUUCAUUUUGGCAUCACAUAAUACUAAAACGAACAAUACAGAGAAGAUUAGCAUGGUCCCUGCCCAAGAAUGACAUGCAUCUUUGGGAAGUAUUCCAUAUUUUU
rfam:Otolemur garnettii contig053094, whole genome shotgun sequence.